rnacentral:rRNA from 1 species
ACGUAGGGGACAAGCGUUAUCCGGAUUUACUGGGCGUAAAGCGCGCGCAGGUGGUCGAGCAAGUUGGCCGUGAAAGCUCCCGGCUUAACUGGGAGAGGUCGGUCAAAACUACUCGGCUAGAGGAUGGAACAGGAGCGUAGAAUUCCCGGUGUAGUGGUGAAAUGCGUAGAGAUCCGGAGGAACACCAGAGGCGAAGGCGACACCCUGGGCCGUACCUGACGCUAAGACGCGACAGCACGGGGAGCGAACGG